rnacentral:rRNA from 1 species
UACGUAGGGUGCAAGCGUUAUCCGGAAUUAUUGGGCGUAAAGAGCUCGUAGGCGGUUUGUCGCGUCUGCUGUGAAAACUGGAGGCUCAACCUCCAGCCUGCAGUGGGUACGGGCAAACUAGAGUGCGGUAGGGGAGAUUGGAAUUCCUGGUGGUAGCGGUGGAAUGCGCAGAUAUCAGGAGGAACACCGAUGGCGAAGCAGAUCUCUGGGCCGUAACUGACGCUGAGGAGCGAAAGCAUGGGGAGCGAACAGG